rnacentral:rRNA from 1 species
GACGAACGCUGGCGGCGUGCUUAACACAUGCAAAGUGGAGCGACGAACCGGUCUUCGGACCGGGGCAGAGCCGCGAACGGGUGAGUAACACGUGGGUAACCCACCCGAUGACCGGGACGAACCCGAGGAAACUCGGGCUAAUACCGGAUGAGCUCUCAUCUUUUGAGAGAUGUGAGGAAAGAUAGCUUCGGCCUUCGCAUCGGGACGGG